rnacentral:rRNA from 1 species
UACGGAGGGUGCAAGCGUUAAUCGGAAUUACUGGGCGUAAAGCGCACGCAGGCGGUCUGUUAAGUCAGAUGUGAAAUCCCCGGGCUUAACCUGGGAACUGCAUUUGAAACUGGCAGGCUUGAGGCUCGUAGAGGGGGGUAGAAUUCCAGGUGUAGCGGUGAAAUGCGCAGAGAUCUGGAGGAAUACCGGUGGCGAAGGCGGCCCCCUGUACGAAGACUGACGCUCAGGUGCGAAAGCGUGGGGAGCAAACAGG